ensembl:lncRNA
ACUAAGAAAAGAGUACAGGCAGGGUUUUGCCCGGUAAAGGUUUGCUAACGUGGACUUGCUGCACGUGAGUUUCCAAAUGAUUUUGGAGGGGACUCCAUUGCAAUAGCAAAGCUCUGUUUUCAGCCCAAAUGUAGUGUAGCGCUAGCGUCGGUAUGCGUCGGUACAGGCAGCGCAUUCGGUCCGGCACGCACUUUCGCGCCGAGUUUAUACUCGGACGCCUGACUGCGUUGCACUUUAGCCAACAACAGUGGAGAAGCGCUCCUCGCUAGCAGACAGAUACGUUGAUGUGGCAGUGCAAAUUGUGCAAAAAAGUGGUGUCAUCACGAGCUCUGUUAUUAAAACACUACAGGUUAGUUCAUAGUAGACAGCAGUAUCCAUGUGCCUAUUCUGAUUGUGUCUGUGUUUUCAAAACAUGGAAUGCUCUACAUAGCCACUUAAGCAGAUCACAUACCCAAAGAACUCUAGACAAGUCUGUGAGUUUGGCAACAUUUAACUGCCAUUUGUGUUCCUGCUGCAACAUAGCUUCAGAGCAGGAGUAUUUUUCUCACAUUAACAACCAUCUAAAAUGUAACGAGACUGUGCAUUGCAUGUUUGAGGGUUGUUCUUUCAAAACAAAUAUCUAUGGUACAUUCAAGUCUCAUCGAAAUAGGAAACACAAUCCUUAUACCUUAAAAGACUUUAAAAUCGGUAUUGCUAACACUAUUGUAGGCCAAACAUCAGCUGAUGACAGUACAGACACUAUUGUAGAAGAGGUCUGUGAAGGUUCUCAGUCAUCCAGGUCAUCGUAGUCAAAGGAGUUUGCAAAGAAAGGCAUCUGGACUUCUUUAAGUUGCUUGAAGACGUUUCACCUCUCAUCCGAG